GGGGAUGAAAGGAUUUCGACGGGGGUUUUGAGCCACAAUAAGCGAGUAGCGGGGCGGGGCCGCUAUAAAAUCCGCAGUUUAAUUUUUAAACGACAAUAAUACAGUUUUACAAGCUGCUUAACUAAAGCAGCCGUCCCUACCGGGAAUACCGCGGCCCGGGGUGGGGCGACGAUUAGCGGUGAACGUGAACAGGCAAGCGUUGCGUAACCUGUCAUGAAUAACGCAACUACCGAAGGUGCAAGCCGGCCUACAGGCGUGCGCCGGGGGGAACCUAAACAGUAGGCUACACUCGUAGAAAGUUGUGAGGAUGAGCUUUCGGACGCGGUUUCGAUUACCGCCAUCUCCACCA
rnacentral:tmRNA from 1 species